AGUGAAAAAGACACAAACCCAACGGCUCAACACUUGCAAGGCAGAGCAAUGCUACAGCCUCAUGUGCCCUUCGACUCACUCACUUUCCCUCGGCCAGGCCUCAAGCAGAGCAGUGAUUGAAGAGAGGUGGAGCCCCGUGACUGACUCCCCUGAGAACAUAACUCUGGUUUCUCUGACACCCCGAACAAGAGCGAGAUGUCAGGAUUCUUCCUUUGGGCUGCUGUGUGAGAGGAAUGGACUGGUGACAGUGAUGCUACAUCACCUCUUCUGAACGCAGGAGCUCAGUUCCAUGUUUGGCAGCUCUAGAAUGAACCAGUGGAGUUUCCUUGACCUCAACGGGGAUCGAUUCCAUUUGGAGCUUGUAGCAACUGAUGUCCAGGGGAGCCCAAGUCCCACCCAUCACAUGGCAACAGGAAGCUUUGCAUGAUGCCUGGCAGUGCAUCCCUCCAAAAUGAAGUGGGAAGAUUAAAGAAAGACUUUGAGGCCCUGGAAUGUGCCCAGAGAGGGGCAACAAAGCUGUGAAUAGUCUGGAGCACAAAUCUUGUGGAGAGUGGCAGAGGGAAUUGGUGUUGUUCAGUCUGGAGAAGAAGAAGCUCAGGGGAGACCUUAUUGCUCUCUACAAUGCCCUGAAAGGAGGCUGUGGUGAGCAAAUGGGCUGUUUGCAAGUGCCGUCCCUGCUUCACCCCUGGCUGAAUGGUUGCCUCUGACACACAGCACCCCAACUGCUCCCAGGGCAGAUGAAUGAAACUUUGUCAGAG